GAUGAACGCUGGCGGCGUGCCUAAUACAUGCAAGUAGAACGCUGAAGCUUGGUGCUUGCCCCGAGCGGAUGAGUUGCGAACGGGUGAGUAACGCGUAGGUAACCUGCCUCUUAGCGGGGGAUAACUAUUGGAAACGAUAGCUAAUACCGCAUAAAAGUCGAUAUCGCAUGAUAUUGAUUUGAAAGGUGCAAAUGCAUCACUAAGAGAUGGACCUGCGUUGUAUUAGCUAGUUGGUGAGGUAACGGCUCACCAAGGCGACGAUACAUAGCCGACCUGAGAGGGUGAUCGGCCACACUGGGACUGAGACACGGCCCAGACUCCUACGGGAGGCAGCAGUAGGGAAUCUUCGGCAAUGGGGGCAACCCUGACCGAGCAACGCCGCGUGAGUGAAGAAGGUUUUCGGAUCGUAAAGCUCUGUUGUAAGAGAAGAACGAGUGUGAGAGUGGAAAGUUCACACUGUGACGGUAACUGACCAGAAAGGGACGGCUAACUACGUG
rnacentral:rRNA from 1 species